GUGCUUGCAUCAUGAUUUACAUUUGAGUGAGUGGCGAACUGGUGAGUAACACGUGGGAAACCUGCCCAGAAGCGGGGGAUAACACCUGGAAACAGAUGCUAAUACCGCAUAACAACUUGGACCGCAUGGUCCGAGUUUGAAAGAUGGCUUCGGCUAUCACUUUUGGAUGGUCCCGCGGCGUAUUAGCUAGAUGGUGAGGUAACGGCUCACCAUGGCAAUGAUACGUAGCCGACCUGAGAGGGUAAUCGGCCACAUUGGGACUGAGACACGGCCCAAACUCCUACGGGAGGCAGCAGUAGGGAAUCUUCCACAAUGGACGAAAGUCUGAUGGAGCAACGCCGCGUGAGUGAAGAAGGGUUUCGGCUCGUAAAACUCUGUUGUUAAAGAAGAACAUAUCUGAGAGUAACUGUUCAGGUAUUGACGGUAUUUAACCAGAAAGCCACGGCUAACUACGUGCCAGCAGCCGCGGUAAUACGUAGGUGGCAAGCGUUGUCCGGAUUUAUUGGGCGUAAAGCGAGCGCAGGCGGUUUUUUAAGUCUGAUGUGAAAGCCUUCGGCUCAACCGAAGAAGUGCAUCGGAAACUGGGAAACUUGAGUGCAGAAGAGGACAGUGGAACUCCAUGUGUAGCGGUGAAAUGCGUAGAUAUAUGGAAGAACACCAGUGGCGAAGGCGGCUGUCUGGUCUGUAACUGACGCUGAGGCUCGAAAGUAUGGGUAGCAAACAGGAUUAGAUACCCUGGUAGUCCAUACCGUAAACGAUGAAUGCUAAGUGUUGGAGGGUUUCCGCCCUUCAGUGCUGCAGCUAACGCAUUAAGCAUUCCGCCUGGGGAGUACGGCCGCAAGGCUGAAACUCAAAGGAAUUGACGGGGGCCCGCACAAGCGGUGGAGCAUGUGGUUUAAUUCGAAGCUACGCGAAGAACCUUACCAGGUCUUGACAUACUAUGCAAAUCUAAGAGAUUAGACGUUCCCUUCGGGGACAUGGAUACAGGUGGUGCAUGGUUGUCGUCAGCUCGUGUCGUGAGAUGUUGGGUUAAGUCCCGCAACGAGCGCAACCCUUAUUAUCAGUUGCCAGCAUUAAGUUGGGCACUCUGGUGAGACUGCCGGUGACAAACCGGAGGAAGGUGGGGAUGACGUCAAAUCAUCAUGCCCCUUAUGACCUGGGCUACACACGUGCUACAAUGGAUGGUACAACGAGUUGCGAACUCGCGAGAGUAAGCUAAUCUCUUAAAGCCAUUCUCAGUUCGGAUUGUAGGCUGCAACUCGCCUACAUGAAGUCGGAAUCGCUAGUAAUCGCGGAUCAGCAUGCCGCGGUGAAUACGUUCCCGGGCCUUGUACACACCGCCCGUCACACCAUGAGAGUUUGUAACACCCAA
rnacentral:rRNA from 2 species